UACGUAGGGUGCAAGCGUUGUCCGGAAUUAUUGGGCGUAAAGAGCUCGUAGGCGGUCUGUCGCGUCGAAUGUGAAAACCCGGGGCUCAACUCCGGGCCUGCAUUCGAUACGGGCAGACUAGAGUUCGGUAGGGGAGUCUGGAAUUCCUGGUGUAGCGGUGAAAUGCGCAGAUAUCAGGAGGAACACCGAUAGCGAAGGCAGCUCGCUGGGACGUUACUGACACUGAGGCGCGAAAGCGUGGGGAGCGAACAGG
rnacentral:rRNA from 1 species